rnacentral:sRNA from 1 species
GUUAUUUGACUGGAGUGAGGUCUCAUGUCUGCUUAUGCGGUGGCUCGCUGCUCAGAACAGGAUGGCAGAGAUGAGCACCACCAUCAAAAACUCAAGGACCAGUGCUGUGGGUCCAGUCAUCUGUUUCAUGGAAUUCACCAGUCUGGUAUCUUCAAAAUCCAGAAGGAUGAUGGCAGAUGGCAGGAAAGAGGAAGAGGGUAAUCUGGAAGAGUUUCCUGACCUACUCUGCUGCUGUGAUUAAACAACCACCAGGAAAUUUUGAUGACACUGUUCUCCUGAGCUCCUCCCUUUCCUCGGGGAAGAAAAGCAUUGAAACUACAAAAAUAAAGUGUUAUUUGGCUGGAGUGAGGUCUCAUGUCUGCUUAUGCGGUGGCUCGCUGCUCAGAACAGGGAACCAUUGGAGAUACUCAUUACUCUUUGAAGGCUUACAGUGGAAUGAAUUCAAAUACGACUUAUUUGAGGAAUUGAAGUUGACUUUAUGGAGCUGAUAAGAAUCUUCUUGGAGAAAAAAAGACUGGUACUUCUGAAUUAACCAAAAUCACAGUAUUCUGAAGAUGAUUCUACAAAGCCUGCUGUUUCUACAAAGGCUGCUGAUGAUUUCUACAAAGCCUGCUGUAGUGUUGCUGUGGCCUCUGCUUAAAAAAGUAGAAAACACAUUGAUGCAGCAUGUUCACCCCAACCUCCCUGCCUAAAGGCUCAGGGACCAUCUUGGAAGAGGAAGGCGCGUGAGAUUGUAAGAGCCGAAUUAGGGGGAUGGAGUGUGGAGAAUAAGGACACUUCAUCUUGGAUGCUCACCUGCCAAAUUGACUUCUGAUGAAAGCCAGCUCCAGAAAUGUGCCUACAGUUACUACUUUCACCUAAACCCUGCCCUUAGUCAAAUCCUUCUCUUCUUCUAAGCAAUCAACUUCAAUUCCUUGUAUAACCCACAGUAUAAAAGGGCUUUUAUACCAUUCUAUCCUAUUGCAUGUAAGCCUUGGGUCUGGGAGGUAACAGUGUGGGAUUCCACCAUCUCAUCUCCCUGCCACCCAAACAUGCCUGCUCUUCUUUAAGCAAUAUUAAAUGUUUGUACUUCAGAAA